GUGGACGGGUUCGUAGCAUAUGAACAACGGUUCAUUUCUCUUGUGUGGGUCACCAGAAAAAAACCAUAACUUCGAUGAGAAACUGACGAGGGGAGAGAAUGUGAAUGAAUGAAUGAGUAGGUUCGUUUUUCGCUUUUUCUCUUGUGCACUUUAAAAUAUUAUUUAUUCUGUCAGUAGCCACUACGAAAUAAGGAAGAGGAAGUAGCGGAAGAAAGAAGAACGAUGACAGAAUGCAUUUCUAAAACAAAUGUGCUUCUGAAGGCAUGCCCUUCAUCGUCUUAUUU
ensembl:ncRNA T28B11.10 ncRNA